rfam:Gossypium raimondii scaffold_128_contig_1, whole genome shotgun sequence.
AUUCCGUGAUGAGGGCACUUUCGUAAUAAUUCUUUAUACCUUUCCUAUGCCUCAAACAAAGAAUCAUCAUCCAUUGUUGGAAAGCAGUGAUAUCAGUCCUCAACUU